AUAUGUAACAAUGAACUCAUCACAGAUCUACUGUCACCUUUAAACCUACAUCACUACAUUCACUCCGUUAUACUUUUAAGUACCAUAUGCAAGUUUUCGUAAAAACUACAUUCUUUCAUUCUACAUGUGAUGGGCAGCAGAUGAGCAGUUGUUUUGACUUGUACAAAAUUUUUAAAUAUUUAGCUUUAUGCAGUUCUAUGGCUCUAUAGGGUGUAGCUUACGAAGUGUUCGACAUUGCCAGACUUUCUUUGCAUCUUUGCAAACCCCUGACAGGUAUCACAGUGGCAGCUAUCAGCUUUCUUUGUGUUUGGAUUCUGCCUGUGUUCACUAGAGAUUAUAACAAAGAAUAUAAUGGAAAAAUGCAACACUGUCGUUGCAAAUAAGAGAGCAGUGCUGGCAGAAAAACAUUAAUCUCUGGAAUUUCUCUGACGCUGUCCCACCAAGAAGGAGAUGGGGAAAUCAUAUCAGUGCUGAAUUGUGAGACUGAAACCUUCUUUCGGCAAUGCUACGUGGAUUUUUUUCUUUAUAUGCCACAAAAAGAAGCCAUAAUGGUCAUUGUUUCUCUGUAAAAUUAAAUUCUA